rnacentral:rRNA from 1 species
GAUGAACGCUGGCGGCGUGCCUAAUACAUGCAAGUCGAGCGAACAGAUAAGGAGCUUGCUCCUUUGACGUUAGCGGCGGACGGGUGAGUAACACGUGGGUAACCUACCUAUAAGACUGGGAUAACUUCGGGAAACCGGAGCUAAUACCGGAUAAUAUUUCGAACCGCAUGGUUCGAUAGUGAAAGAUGGUUUUGCUAUCACUUAUAGAUGGACCCGCGCCGUAUUAGCUAGUUGGUAAGGUAACGGCUUACCAAGGCGACGAUACGUAGCCGACCUGAGAGGGUGAUCGGCCACACUGGAACUGAGACACGGUCCAGACUCCUACGGGAGGCAGCAGUAGGGAAUCUUCCGCAAUGGGCGAAAGCCUGACGGAGCAACGCCGCGUGAGUGAUGAAGGUCUUCGGAUCGUAAAACUCUGUUAUUAGGGAAGAACAUACGUGUAAGUAACUGUGCACGUCUUGACGGUACCUAAUCAGAAAGCCACGGCUAACUACGUGCCAGCAGCCGCGGUAAUACGUAGGUGGCAAGCGUUAUCCGGAAUUAUUGGGCGUAAAGCGCGCGUAGGCGGUUUUUUAAGUCUGAUGUGAAAGCCCACGGCUCAACCGUGGAGGGUCAUUGGAAACUGGAAAACUUGAGUGCAGAAGAGGAAAGUGGAAUUCCAUGUGUAGCGGUGAAAUGCGCAGAGAUAUGGAGGAACACCAGUGGCGAAGGCGACUUUCUGGUCUGUAACUGACGCUGAUGUGCGAAAGCGUGGGGAUCAAACAGGAUUAGAUACCCUGGUAGUCCACGCCGUAAACGAUGAGUGCUAAGUGUUAGGGGGUUUCCGCCCCUUAGUGCUGCAGCUAACGCAUUAAGCACUCCGCCUGGGGAGUACGACCGCAAGGUUGAAACUCAAAGGAGUUGACGGGGACCCGCACAAGCGGUGGAGCAUGUGGUUUAAUUCGAAGCAACGCGAAGAACCUUACCAAAUCUUGACAUCCUUUGACAACUCUAGAGAUAGAGCUUUCCCCUUCGGGGGACAAAGUGACAGGUGGUGCAUGGUUGUCGUCAGCUCGUGUCGUGAGAUGUUGGGUUAAGUCCCGCAACGAGCGCAACCCUUAAGCUUAGUUGCCAUCAUUAAGUUGGGCACUCUAAGUUGACUGCCGGUGACAAACCGGAGGAAGGUGGGGAUGACGUCAAAUCAUCAUGCCCCUUAUGAUUUGGGCUACACACGUGCUACAAUGGACAAUACAAAGGGCAGCGAAACCGCGAGGUCAAGCAAAUCCCAUAAAGUUGUUCUCAGUUCGGAUUGUAGUCUGCAACUCGACUACAUGAAGCUGGAAUCGCUAGUAAUCGUAGAUCAGCAUGCUACGGUGAAUACGUUCCCGGGUCU